UUGGUGAUGUGGACACCAAGGAACUUUAAACUCUCGACCUGCUCCACUACUGCCCCGUUGAUGUUAAUGGGGGCCUGUUGGGCCCUCCUUUUCCUGUAGUCCACGAUCAGCUCCUUUGCCUUGCAUUGAGGGAGAGGUUGUUGUCCUGGCACCACACUGCCAGGUCUCUGACCUCCUCUCUUAUUGGCUGUCUCAUCGUUGUCGGUGAUCAGGCCUACCACUGUUGUGUCAUCAGCAAACUUAAUGAUGGUGUUGGAGUCAUGCUUGGCCAUGCAGUCGUGGGUGAGCAGGGAGUACAGGAGGGGAGUAAGCACGCACCCCUGAGGGGCCCCAGUGUUAAGGAUUAGGGAGGGUUUCCGGCAUGAUGGUGUUGAUGUGAGCCAUGAACAGACUUUCAAAGCACUUCAUGGCUUCAUACAAUGCUUGUCUUUCAUAAUUUGGUCAGAUAUACUUGGAUGUGUAGUGUCAGUGUUUGUUGUUGAGAUGUCAUGCCUAAGUUUGCUAAUCUUGCCAAUGAAAAAAACAUUAAAGUAGUUGGCAAUAUCAGUUAGUUCUGUGAUGAAUGAGCCAUCUGAUUCAAUGAAUGAUGGAGCUGAGAUUGCAUUUUUCCCAAAAUGUAAUUUAAGGUGCUCCAAAGCUUUUUACUGUAAUUCUUUGUCAUUUAUCUUUGUGUCAUAGUGUAAUUUUUUAUUUUUAUUCAGUUUAGUCACAUGAUUUCUUAAUUUGCAAUAGGUUUGCCAAUUGUGGUUGUGCAGCCAGACUUUAUGUGCCAUUCCUUUUGCCUCAUCCCUCUGAACCAUACAAUUCUUUAAUUCCUCAUCAAUCUACGGGGAUUUAACUUUUUUUUCUUUUUUUUUUUUCUUAAUGGGUUCAUGCUUAUUAGUAACUGGAAUAGUCAAUUUCAUAAAUGUGUCAAGUGCAGUGUCUGCUCCUCAUUACACACCACGGACCAACACAUAUUCUUUACAUCAACAACAGGAAUCCCUACAAAACUUAUUGUAUGACCUCUUAUACAUUAUAUUAGGCCCAAUCUUUGGAACUGGUUUCCCUAGAUAUGGCUACUAUAUUGGGAUCACUACAUCCAAUGGAUCUGGAUACGGCUUUAAAGCUAAUUUCUGCUGCAUUUUAGUAAAGAUGUGAUCAAAGGGGAAUUAGGGUUAAGGUUAGAAUUAGGGUUAAGGUUAGGAGCUAGGGUUCGUUUCAGGGUUAGGAGCCGGGGUUAAGGUUAGAAUUAGGGUUAAGGUUAGGAGCUAGGGUUCGUUUCAGGGUUAGGAGCCGGGGUUAAGGUUAGAAUUAGGGUUAAGGUUAGGAGCUAGGGUUCGUUUCAGGGUUAGGAGCCGGGGUUAAGGUUAGAAUUAGGGUUAAGGUUAGAAUUAGGGUUAAGGUUAGGAGCUAGGGUUCGUUUCAGGGUUAGGAGCCGGGGUUAAGGUUAGGGGAAAAUAUGAUUUUGAAAUGGACUGGGGUUCCCAUGUUGUGUUCUGUAAUAUCCUGCACAUUCUUCACUUUUUGCUGCACCAUAACGAGAUGAUGGUGUCCUGGUGAGGGAUGGCUUUCCACUUCUUCUCAUCAGCUCUGCUCUCAUGUGUCCCAAAUGGAGCCCUAUUCCCUACAUAGUGCACUACUGUGGUCCCUACAUACAGUCUUCAAGAACAAAAAUCUAUCUAGAAGCUAAAAGGGCUCUUCAGCUGUCCCCAUAGGGGGUACCCUUUGAAGAACCUUUCCGGUUCCAUGUAGAACCCUUUUGGGUUCCUUUCCACAUAGGGUUCUACACAGAACCCUAAAAAAAUAUUUAUAUAUAAUAUACCUGGAACCGUAAAGGGUUCAACCUGGAAGUGAGUGAGUAGAGUGGUUUACUUUAGCAGGGGCCAUGUCAAAGGUAAGAAAACAGCACUCCGGCCAAAGACCUCACUGAUUACGUAAUGGAGGCUGGCAGGAAUGCUGCUGACUCUCUGGUUUUACUGCCAAGACAAAUAGUUCCCUCCCAAAUUGUUCCCUAAAUAGUGCACUACUUUUGACUAGGGCCC
ensembl:lncRNA